UAAGCUGGGAAUCUCCUUCAGGCUCUUCCCUAUGUAGCAGUGACUGUUCUAACAAGCCAAGCUGUCUAUCCUGAGGAUGCAAUGCUGGCCUCUGAAGCAGGCUAGGAGAGCUGCUCUGGCAAGGCACCUCGCUGCUGAUUCCCAGUGUGUGGAUGGAUAAACAGGGCAGUGACCCUUGUGGUUGCAAAGACUUUGGGGAAAUCAAAGUAAAUUCUCCUCAAGUCCUUUGCAUCUGCUGGCCAUCUUCCCCAGAAGUUUCAGAAGUCAUUGGAGAAGAGGAAAUUACAUCAGCUCUCCUUGUAAAUGGAAACAUGAGCUAAGAUUCUUGAAACAAAGGAGUGCUUGGCAGAAUUCAGUAUAUUAACAUGUUAUGGAAGUAACACAAGAGCCCAAUACCCUGACCAGGAAAACCAGACCAGCACAAAGACUGGGCAAUGGGGUUUAUACUUCAGGAGGUUUUCCAGUUUAGAGGAGAAAGCACAUCUUACCUUUGCCUAUAUGACCUGGAGUUUUGGAUGGGAUGUGUAAAGGUUUUUUUUUGGAAGGCACCUUCUGUCCUCUUUCCAUACCUGUGCUGUACCUUCACAGGAAGGUCACACAAUGUAGGGCUUGGAUGUUUCACCAUGAGCUUUACUGGAACUAUUUAUCUGUACGUAACACGCACCAGAAGGUUUAGCAUUCCUCCACCCUGCCUCUAUGUACCUUAGUAUAUCAUCUUCCAAAACAGAUGGCAAACUCUUGGGUUGCAGAGGAUGGUGGUUUUGUUUUACAAAGCAUUUAAGUUAAUAUAUGUUUUCUUAAAAUGAUGGUUCUCUGCAGGCUAUGAGCCAUUCACACCCAGUUCUUAACCUAAUUGUUCACAUUUGCAGGAAUUAUGGCGGGCAAAGCAUUGUGUGAUACCUGUUUACAAAAUCUGACUACUUAAAACACUAAUAAAUUUCUAUGGUUCCACUAA